CCCAGAAUUUAGUCUGCCUCUUACUGAUCUUGUCUGAGGCUGGAAUUUAAGCAGGGUCAGUCCUGAUUUAUACCUGGAUGGGAGGCCACAAGGGAACAAAGUUAAUACUGUAC
rnacentral:rRNA from 1 species